rnacentral:rRNA from 1 species
UGGGGGAUAUUGCACAAUGGGCGAAAGCCUGAUGCAGCGACGCCGCGUGGGGGAUGAAGGCCUUCGGGUUGUAAACUUCUUUUGCUCUGAACAAGGCGCACCAUGGGGUGUGUUGAGUGUAGGGGUUGAUUAGCGCCGGCUAACUACGUGCCAGCAGCCGCGGUAAUACGUAGGGCGCGAGCGUUGUCCGGAAUUAUUGGGCGUAAAGGGCUUGUAGGUGGCUGGUUGCGUCUGUCGUGAAAGCUCAUGGCUUAACUGUGGGGUUGCGGUGGGUACGGGCUGGCUUGAGUGCAGUAGGGGAGGCUGGAAUUCCUGGUGUAGCGGUGGAAUGCGCAGAUAUCAGGAGGAAUACCGGUGGCGAAGGCGGGUCUCUGGGCUGUUACUGACACUGAGGAGCGAAAGCAUGGGGAGCGAACAGG